AAGGUGGGGAUGAACGUCAAGUCCUCAUCGGCCUUUAUGACCGAGGGCUACACACGUACUACAAUGGCCGGUACAAAGGGCAGCCACUUAGCGAUAAGGAGCCAAUCCCGUAAAGCCGGUCUCAGUCCGGAUUGGAGUCUGCAACUCGACUCCAUGAAGUUGGAAUCGCUAGUAAUCGCGGAUCGGCAUGCCGCGGUGAAUACGUUCCCGGGCCUU
rnacentral:rRNA from 1 species